rnacentral:lncRNA from 1 species
GGGGCAUGAACAUGGCUCACUGCACCCUUGACCUUCUGGGCUCAAGCGAUCCUCUUGCCUCAGGCUUCUGUUUAGCUGGGGCCACAGGCGGGCACCAAAAUGCCUGGCUAAUUUUUUUGUUUUUAUUUUGGUAGAGACGAGGUCUCACUUUGUUGCCCAUGCUGUUCUCAAACUUCUCGGCUCAAGUGAUCCUCCCACCUCGGCCUCCCAAAGUGCUGUGUUACAGGCAUAAGCCACCGCACCUGGUCUCUACUUUGUUCUUACUCUUCUUCCUGACUCUGUGAUCAGCUCUUUUUCCUCAUUGACAUCUCUUAUCACCAGCAGAGGCCUACCACUAGACACCAGGUCCGUAUUGGAAGCCUUGACUCUGGCCCAGACAUUUCUGCUGUACCUCAUGUAGGGUGAGCCCAGGACCUGCCACACUGUGCCAGCCUCGCCCAAGCCACCCUCCAGCCAGGACGCAGUCUUUCCUGACUCAGCAGGCUGAGGCACCUGAGGCUUUCAUUUUAAUUAUGAACCACUUCAAAGCCUUUCUGGAAGCAGGUGAGAGACAAAAGUGUAAACAAGUGAAUGAGUGAGUCAUCCGGCCCUCCCUGCCUGGAUAUUCCUGUCAUCCAUCCUGCCUCUCUCUCACCCACAGUCUCUGCAAUAACCAACCUGAGUUCUCUCCUAAUGUGGGGAUUGUCCUGGAGCCCAGGCCUUCCAAGGCUCCUCCGCCCGCCAACAUCACCUACCUUAUCUUCCUCUUCAGCACAUCCCCAACAUUGUCUAAGCGGUAACUCACCUGAGCAAAGCACUUGACACGGAUUCAUUCAUUUAUUCCUCACAACAACCUGAUGAGAGCACUGAAUAACUUCAAAGGGGAAAAACAAUAACCUUUACAAUGGAUAGAUCUGGCAGGAACCAUGUUAACCAAGUGAUCAAAGGUAGCAUCACCAAUAAUGGGGCAAACCGACAUCCUGUGCUUCCCCAUUGAUGCGCCGAGAAGGACACAGCAUUGCUCAUGCAGCAACCUUGUCAAAAAUGCGUAAACGGAAUCUAAUCAUGAGAAAACUGCCAGACAGCCAAACUCUUCAGAAAUGUCAAUAUAAUGAAAGGCAACAAAGAUUGAGAAUAACUUUACCAGGUUAAAGAAAACUAAAAAGAUAUGACAACUGACUGCAACGCAGAAUCCUGGACCAGACCCUGGAUCUGGUCAAAAGAAAAAUGCUUUAAACGACAGUAUUGGGACAAAGGGUAAAAUUUGAAUGUGGA